rnacentral:lncRNA from 1 species
AUCAAGGGGAUCCUUAAAACAGACUACUAGAAAGAAUUGUUCUCAUCACCAGAGGGCAGUGUUGUGUAUAAAUGAGUAGUUUAAUAUUGUACCAUAGUCCAGUUUGUGUUGGUAACGUGGAAAAUACCAAAAUCAGGGUGCAGAGCAAGGAUACCGUUAUCAUGAGUUUCAGAAGGGAAAGCUUAUACGGCUUCAGGUUCACCUAAAGAAGGUGUAUGUGUAGGUGAAACACGAUACAUGCAGAUAAUUGGAUGUGACACUGGAAAACAAAACGGAGAACUUGAGUCCCAAACCCUGUGGGUCUUAAAAUGUUCCCAUACUGGAACACUAUCAGUUUCUAUAAUAGUAUAUUAUGUUGCAUUUGUAUUUGGAACUACCAUCGUACAUAAUUUUUUUUCUAUUUAGAAUAUUCUAGAUCUUAUUCCCUGUUACAGUUUUAAUGUUUUCCUCGCUGUUACUUGAUGGCUUCUACCAAUACGUAUUGCCUGCACUUUUUCUAAGUUGAUGUUCAGUGCGUGUCUUCAGAGCAGAAUUACUGAAAGAGUUAUUCAAGGAUGAAACUGUGUGCAAGUCAGGCGUGGUGGGGACUGUGUACAUGAGAUCUGAUGGAUAGCUGAUUAAUAGUGUGUAACUUAAAGUAGCUUCUCAGUAGGAAUGUUUCUUUUUUUUUUUAAUUCUCCAUAGAUGUCAUGGUCUUUGAUCUUUAUAAACCGAAAAAAGAUGGAACAGAGAAGUAGGCAAGGAUUUAGGGAGACUCUGUAAAUGAUGACUUGUUAUUUUUAACGCUGAGCCAAGAUUCUCAGACCACUUUCGCUUUGUUGAAGCUGACUAUAACACAAACUAGCUGGCUGGCUUUUUCAUUUUGAGCUCUCUACAAGUUGCCAGAAAGAGUGACUCUUCUAAUGAAAGCACGAGUGACUCUCAUAUAGGAAAUCCUCUUCCAAGUAAUUGAGAGUGGCCUUGACUGUCCAGGGUCACCAAGAGAAGUGAGUACCCAAGUACCACCUGAAAGAGCAGGGCACAUUGUCCCAGUGCUUGCCAUGUAGGGGCGUUAUAAGACUGCAGUUUAUAGGAUGUUUGAUCACCACAGAAAUACACCCAUCGUAAGCAAUUGCAGCCUAAUGGACUGGAAAAUUGCUUAACAGAUUUUUGUAUUUGAUUAGAAACAUUUCCAUAUUGGUGAAACGCCACUCAUUUCUUUUUCUGAGCAGUGAAUCUUAAGUAGCAACAGGGAGAAAGCCUCCCCACAGCCACCAUUCAUCUUGCGUAUUCAGCUAGAAAAAUAGAACUGCUAAAGGCCCACUGGUACCUCUUAGGUAACCACAGGUUUUCAUUUUGUGCUGAAUUAUUAGACAUUUUUCUUUUUACAUUCUUAGAGCAUGAUUAAGAGACCAAUUUACUCCCAAAGAAAAUUGCUACUAAAUUACAUCUAUUAAGUUUUUAUAUUAAAACAUACUCUACCAAAGGUUGACAGUCACUGAGCAGCUGUGCCACUCUGAAUGCGUCAUGUGCUGGCAUAAUUUAUUAACUGACUGUAUGCAAGUGCCGUGAAAUUACUCUGGGGCUGCAUUUGAGUAUCUCCAGGGUCCCGGAUGUUUCACUCCCUUUGUCCUUGGAUUUUCUUCCUAUGGAUUACACACAGAGACCAGAAUUCUCAACAUCUUCAGAGAAAUUUUGGUUUGCAGAAAAAUCAUAAGAAAACCCAAGACGAAUGUGGACACUACAUAGAUAGAAAAGAAUUAAUAGAAGGCUCCACAAACAGUCGAUUUCUAGGCCACAGUCAAUUUCUUGGGUGGCUCUUAGUGAGGCCACAGUUCACAUGACCUUAUAAACCAUGAGCAAAAUUCCUCUGCGAUGUGAUGAAAAAUUCCAGUAUGUAAGGGAAGUAAGAAUGAUCACAAGUGACUUG